CAGAACAAACACCCUCGUACCCACUGGCAGGAUCAGCCAACGGUGCACCUCAGCGUACAGCUCCCAUUCGUAGCUGCAGUACUGGCAGAAGUGACCAGGGAGAAACCGGUUCCGGCAUUUUCAGCAGUCGGAGUCUCUACCUGCCCCGCGGGUGCAGUUUCGGCAACUACCAAAUCCAGAGUGGAAAGGCCCAGUUCCGCUUAUAACGUGGGGUCGAGGUUACGCGGCUGUGUCUACGCCUGACGGUCCUGUGUGGGUACCUGCUAGGUGUAUCCGGCCCUGGAAAGACGAUGUCCUGGCACGAUAAUCUUAAGAAUCCCAUCCCUAAUUUUUCUCUGCAACUUCAGGAUACUGGGAUGUCUUCCAGGAAGCGUGGUCGGAAUGUUCCGCAACCUCCCGUGACUUGGGGCCAAAUAAAGAACUUAGCAACACAAGCAGAAAAAGCAAUGGAACAAGCCGGGGUGGACAAGACAACUGAGAAUACCAUUCUUGCUUUAAUUGCGUCUUUAAAUACAAAUUCUAUUUUUGUACUUUGCAUUUGUUGGAUUUUAGGAAGCGCCGGGGCUGACAGGUUGGGGCAGGAGUUGGGGAUGCGGUUUCAACACAAUAUCUGGGUUCAGUUAGCAAGAAUGACAAAUGUGAGUGACUUUUGCAUGACUGAACAUGUACAGGAAAUGGGUAUGUUGGGAACAUGUUUAAUACCCGUAUGCAAAGCACCUGGGGAUAUUGGGAACAUUACAGGACUUGGGCGGUUCAUGAAUACUUCAGAGAUUAAAUAUCAUACUGUUUCGAAUUGGGGAACUCCAACCUUCCAGCUGCCUGUUAAUGCUUUUCAAUUAUUUACAUCACA